UUCUUGCCAGCAUCAUGCUCCUCUUGGCAUUUCUCGGAUUCUUGUUUUCCAUUCUUGGCAUGAAAAACUGUGUGUAUAUACUCGUGGUCCCUGGGUGGAUUAUUAUCACACUCACAUUUAUCUUAUGCGGCUUGUUUCUGGUAUUCCAUAA